rnacentral:rRNA from 1 species
CGGCGGCAGCUUACACAUGCAGUCGAGCGGUAACAUUUCUAGCUUGCUAGAAGAUGACGAGCGGCGGACGGGUGAGUAAUACUUAGGAAUCUACCUAGUAGUGGGGGAUAGCUCGGGGAAACUCGAAUUAAUACCGCAUACGACCUACGGGAGAAAGGGGGCAACUUGUUGCUCUCGCUAUUAGAUGAGCCUAAGUCGGAUUAGCUAGAUGGUGGGGUAAGGGCCUACCAUGGCGACGAUCUGUAGCUGGUCUGAGAGGAUGAUCAGCCACACCGGGACUGAGACACGGCCCGGACUCCUACGGGAGGCAGCAGUGGGGAAUAUUGGACAAUGGGGGAAACCCUGAUCCAGCCAUGCCGCGUGUGUGAAGAAGGCCCUUUGGUUGUAAAGCACUUUAAGCAGUGAAGAAGACUCUUCGGUUAAUACCCGGAGACGAUGACAUUAGCUGCAGAAUAAGCACCGGCUAACUCUGUGCCAGCAGCCGCGGUAAU